GCGAGCGUAGUUCAAUGGCAGAAUAUCAGCUUCCCAAGCUGACUACGCGGGUUCGAUUCCCGUCGCUCGCU
rnacentral:tRNA from 1 species